rnacentral:rRNA from 1 species
GACGAACGCUGGCGGCGUGCUUAACACAUGCAAGUCGAACGGCAAGGCCCUGCUUUUGUUGGGUGCUCGUUUGGCGAUCUUGUGAGUAACACGUGUGUAACCUGCCCUUGACUUUGGGAUAACUUCAUGAAACUUGGGCUAAUACCUGAUAUGAGCUCCUGCUGCAUGGUGGGGGUUGGUAAGUUUCGGCGGUUGGGGAUUGUCUCGCGGCUUAUCAGCUUGUUGGUGGGGUAGUGGCUUACCAAGGAUUUGACGGGUAGCCGGCAUGAGAGGGUGACCGGCGACAAUGGGACUGAGAUACGGAACAGAAUACGACGGGAGGCAGCAGUGGGGAAUAGUGCAAAAUGGGCGGAAGCAUGAUGAAGAAACGCCGCGUGCGGGAUGAAGGCCUUCGGGUUGUAAACAGAUGUAGCAUGUGAAGAAGAGUGAGUGACGGUAAUGGGUAAAGAAGCACCGGCUAACUACGUG